GGCAUGCUAUACAUGCAAGUCGAGCGGACCGACGGGAGCUUGCUCCCUGAUGUCAGCGGCGGACGGGUGAGUAACACGUGGGUAACCUGCCUGUAAGACUGGGAUAACUCCGGGAAACCGGGGCUAAUACCGGAUGCUUGAUUGAACCGCAGGUUCAAUUAUAAAAGGUGGCUUUUAGCUACCACUUACAGAUGGACCCGCGGCGCAUAGCUAGUUGGUGAGGUAACGGCUCACCAAGGCAACGAUGCGUAGCCGACCUGAGAGGGUGAUCGGCCACACUGGGACUGAGACACGGCCCAGACUCCUACGGGAGGCAGCAGUAGGGAAUCUUCCGCAAUGGACGAAAGUCUGACGGAGCAACGCCGCGUGAGUGAUGAAGGUUUUCGGAUCGUAAAACUCUGUUGUUAGGGAAGAACAAGUACCGUUCGAAUAGGGCGGUACCUUGACGGUACCUAACCAGAAAGCCACGGCUAACUACGUGCCAGCAGCCGCGGUAAUACGUAGGUGGCAAGCGUUGUCCGGAAUUAUUGGGCGUAAAGCGCGCGCAGGCGGUUUCUUAAGUCUGAUGUGAAAGCCCCCGGCUCAACCGGGGAGGGUCAUUGGAAACUGGGGAACUUGAGUGCAGAAGAGGAGAGUGGAAUUCCACGUGUAGCGGUGAAAUGCGUAGAGAUGUGGAGGAACACCAGUGGCGAAGGCGACUCUCUGGUCUGUAACUGACGCUGAGGCGCGAAAGCGUGGGGAGCGAACAGGAUUAG
rnacentral:rRNA from 1 species